rnacentral:lncRNA from 1 species
CAUCACUCUUCAAGUAAGGUAACACCUUAAGGUACUUGACUAUCACUUUUAUAAGCUUCUCCUUGGUUCUGGCGUGAACAUAAAUAAAGAGACAAACAUGUAUGAUUUAUAACUCCAACCCAACUGAUUCAGCAUGUUUAGUCCUUUAAUCUUUGUUCCUAGUACUACCUCCAUGAUCCUACACUCCUAAUCAUAUGAGCUAAAAUGUUGCACAUUCAAUCUUUAAAGAAAAAGACAUAUACAUAGAUAGAUUAUCUUUCCAUAAGGUUGAGCGAUCUGAUCUGACAAAUGUUAUAAGUGCUACACUCAUGAACUUAUCAUCCAUCAACUUUGUCUUGCUCACCAUGCUUAAGGUUAGAGAAGAACAAAUACACUUUUGGUUCUGUUGGUGUUUUCCACCAACAGGGCCCAUGCACUUGAUCUCUGCCUUGUCUCUGUGAGCAGGUACACUACAAGCACAAACACAUUAAGCAGGAUGCUGCCAACGCCGCACUUCAAACUACUGGGCAAACGAAGAACAUGGGUGACACCGUAUCAAGAGGUGCAGACGUCAAGGUCCGCACCUGAAUCAAAUGACGCACCUGAAGAAUGAACACAGUGAGAAGUCUUGUUAAGAAGACUUAAAACAAGAUCGGUAGUUAUCCAUAUUUAUCCUUUCUGCAUUCCCUUUUCCCUUUAAUUAUUUACUUUCCUUAAAUAGAUUAUUAGUUAAUCAUGCUAUCUUGAAAAGAAAAUAAAAAUGUUAAAAAAUACUAAGCCCCGUGUGAGUAUACGAGUGACAUAAAACCCAUAAGUACCUUCACUGUGGUGGCAUAAAAAUAAAAUAAAUAUUUCUUUUCUACUUUAUAAAAUAAAAAUUUAAAAACAGGGAGUAAUAUUUAUUGAGGAAGCUCAACAUGAUGAAGGCUAGAUAUUUAUGCUAACACUUAAUUAGUUCCACAAGCUUUGUUGUCUAUUUGAGCUCCACAGAAUUUAAGAAUCAAGAAGACUAGCAGACGAAGGACAUUCUAAUCGCUGUCAGAAUGCUGCUGACUUUCAAAUACACCUCUGCCACCUGCUAGCUACAUCAAGAGAAAUUACGUCAAAAUUCAGCUUGGGGGAGAGCACCCCCAUUUAUCUCGCUAAGUAUUUCUACCUAUCUUUAUACUUAUAUUAUGUUAGAAUAUUAAAAUACAUAAACUAUGAAAAACUGAAUAAAGAUUUUGUGCUUAUAUAUAUCUUUUGUUUAGUGUAUUUAAUAAAUAAAUAAAGUGGCUAUGCUAAUCUGAAUCUUAAUAAUAAAACUCUAGUAUGGAUAUGAUGAAUAGUUGCUCUGCCUAAUUUGCAAAUUUGAAGUUCUCUCUCAAGUUUAGACAUAACUGUUAUAAUUUAAAGCUUGCUCUAGAUCUAAACUUGUGGGAUGAAAACUUGAUCUGAAAUCUAAGUUGUUAACGGAUAUGACAUGGGAAGGUUGAGCUGCUGUUUAUCUGUUCCUAGAGAUGCUAGAAUUCUGGAGAAUUUUAUCUUUGAAAAAUCUUUAAAAUAUUGCAUGAUGAGUUCCUGUAUGAUGAGAGUUUAAAUUCCUACCACAGCCAUAUAUACAUGCUUGCUAGACUUUGAGCCACACAUUUACUAUUUACUGCUUAUGAGCAUUGAGUGUGGUCAAGCUGUGUAGACCCUUAGGAGCUUGUCAUGUGGUUAAAUCAAGAUUCACUUGCACAUUCACUCAUAUAUGCUACUUCUACUCUAGAAGUACCAUCCACAUAUAUCCAUCCAUUGUCAUCUCCAGAAUCACCUAAAAAUAUUCUACUCCUAAUUCGGGAGAGAAUAGCCAAAAACAUCUGUGUUUUCCCCUGUGAAAUAAAUCCUCAAGUUAUCUUGUUACUACCACUUGCUAUAUUAUCUCAAGAGAUGAGUGCUUUGAAAAAAAAGAAAAAAAAUAAAUGAGGAAAUAAAAAGGGGCAAGUGCCCGGAACCUCGAAAGAAAGAAAAAGUGAGACGAGAGGUAAAAAUGGACAAGUGUCCGACAGUAGAAUUAGGAGUACAAGAUACCCAUCUAAGAGGAAAGAAAAAGAAGAGCAUCUCAUUCUCCUCAUAAAGUUUCAAAAAGCAAGGAAGGUAUGUAUCCCCUCAAAAGAGCAAAAGUAGAAUUAGACUUUCACCAUCAUCACCAUACACCAUUCAUUCGCCACACAUGCACAUCUUGAUUUGGCUUAUUGAUUUGUUUCUUUGGAUCCAUGGUUUGACUAUACAAUAAAUGUGUUGUAAGUAUGUAUACUUUAUCUCCCACCUAUGAGCUCCAGAUAUUAAAGCCUUAUUAGAGUAGGGUGAGAGAGAAGGUAAUGUCACAAUGCCUUAUACCACAAAUACCACAUAUCUUGAGAGAAGGCAUAUACCAUCACUGCCUUGGUAAGGAUCCAGAAAUACCACAAAAGAGAGAUUUAGAGAGUCAUACAAGGAAUCUCUGAGUUUUAUUUGAAAAUCUGCAAAAACUCCAGAGCUAUAGCUGAUCAAGAAUAAGAGACAUGGCACUUGGCUAGACUGUUCUAUCUUUUAACUACUCAAGACAGAAGUGACGGUUACAAGUCUCAUGGUGAAAGGUAAAGUAAGUAAGUUUUAGUUCUUGACAGUUUACUCUAACUCAGAGAUGAGAUCUUAUUUAAAAGCAUGUGUACCAUCAAAUUUUUAAGAUAUUGCAACAACUUCUGAUCCAUUGCUGAGUCUAUCCUUGCUUAGGGACAAGCAAGAGGUAAGCUUGGGGGAGUUUGUUGACGAUCCUUAAGUAUCAAAUUUAAUUAUCAAAUAAACAAAGAAAAGGAUCCAAAUGAAAUCAACAUCUAGACUUAGGGUUUUAUCUGACAGAAUUCCAUGAGUUUUGGUGUUUGUCUAAUUCUGCAGGGGGUUAUCAGGAGAUAUGAAAGAAAGGCUCACACGUCGGGUUUACAAAGAGAUAUUAACGUGCCGUGCAAUUU